rnacentral:rRNA from 1 species
CAGCCGCCACGGUAAUACGUAGGUGGCAAGCGUUGUCCGGAAUUAUUGGGCGUAAAGGGCUCGCAGGCGGUUUCUUAAGUCAGAUGUGAAAGCCCCCGGCUCAACCGGGGAGGGUCAUUGGAAACUGGGAAACUUGAGUGCAGAAGAGGAGAGUGGAAUUCCACGUGUAGCGGUGAAAUGCGUAGAGAUGUGGAGGAACACCAGUGGCGAAGGCGACUCUCUGGUCUGUAACUGACGCUGAGGAGCGAAAGCGUGGGGAGCGAACAGGAUUAGAGACCCCGGUAGUCCCUGUCUCUUAUAC